CACGUAGGGUGCGAGCGUUGUCCGGAAUUAUUGGGCGUAAAGAGCUCGUAGGCGGUGUGUCGCGUCGGCCGUGAAAACCUGCAGCUUAACUGUGGGCGUGCGGCGAUACGGGCAGACUGGAGUACUGCAGGGAGACUGGAAUUCCUGGUGUAGCGGUGAAAUGCGUAGAUAUCGUAAGGAAGACCAGUGGCGAAGGCGGGUCUCUGGACAGUUCCGUGACGC
rnacentral:rRNA from 1 species